rnacentral:tRNA from 1 species
CUGGUGCUGCGCGGCUGGCUGCCGCGCGCCCUGCCGGCGCCGGGGCAGGCGCCGGGCCAGGGGCCGGCGCGGCCGUCCCUGCCGGCCGCGCCCGA